AACGAACGCUGGCGGCAUGCCUAACACAUGCAAGUCGAACGAGAUCUUCGGGUCUAGUGGCCCACGGGUGCGUAACGCGUGGGAAUCUGCCCUUUGGUUCGGAAUAACAGUUGGAAACGACUGCUAAUACCGGAUGAUGACGAAAGUCCAAAGAUUUAUCGCCAGAGGAUGAGCCCGCGUAGGAUUAGCUAGUUGGUGUGGUAAAGGCGCACCAAGGCGACGAUCCUUAGCUGGUCUGAGAGGAUGAUCAGCCACACUGGGACUGAGACACGGCCCAGACUCCUACGGGAGGCAGCAGUGGGGAAUAUUGGACAAUGGGCGAAAGCCUGACCCAGCAAUGCCGCGUGAGUGAUGAAGGCCUUAGGGUUGUAAAGCUCUUUUACCCGGGAUGAUAAUGACAGUACCGGGAGAAUAAGCUCCGGCUAACUCCGUGCCAGCAGCCGCCGUAA
rnacentral:rRNA from 1 species